rnacentral:miRNA from 1 species
UCUAGAACAGGGCUGUCCAACCUGCGGCCCCCCAGAUGUUGCUGAACUACAACUCCCAUGACUCCCUGACUAUCUUUUUAAUUGAAAUAAUCAUGGGAGUUAUAGUUCAGCAACAUCUGGGGGGCCGCAGGUUGGACAGCCCUGAUUUAGA